UUCAUGCCUUACUUUACAAUGUUGUUUUCAUGCCUUUUUAUGCCUUACUUUACUAUGUCUUUUUUAUGCAUUCAUAUACCUAACUGUACUAUGUCUUUUUUAAUACCUUCAUAUGCCUUGCUAUACUGUGACCUUUUUAUGCCUUUUCAUGCCUUACUAUACUAUGACAUUUUUAUGACUUUCCAUACCAUACUAUUCUAUGUCGUUUUUACGCCUUACUAUACUUAGUCGCUUUUAUGACUUUUUAUGCCUUUCUAUACUAUGACGUUUUUAUCACUUUUUAUGUCUUACUAUACUAUGACGUUUUUUUGCCUUACUAUACUAUGACGUUUUUAUGACUUUUUAUGCCUUACUAUAUACUAUGACGUUUUUAUGACUUUUUAUGCCUUACUAUACUAUGACGUUUUUAUGACUUUUUAUGCCUUACUACACUAUGAGGUUUUUAUGACUUUUUAUGCCUUACUAUACUAUGACGUUUUUAUGACUUUUUAUGCCUUGCUAUACUAUGAUGUUUUUAUUCCGUUCUAUACUGUUUCAUUUUUAUGCCUUUUCAUGCCUUACUAUACUAUGUUGUUUUAAUGCUUUUUUAUGCCUUACUAUACUAUUUCGUUUUUAUCACUUUUUAUGCCUUACUAUACUAUGACGUUUUUAUGCUUUUUUAUGUCUUACUAUCCUAUGACGUUUUUAUGACUUUUUAUGUCUUACUAUACUAUGACAUUUUUAUGACUUUUUAUGCCUUACUAUACUAUGACGUUUUUUUGCCUUACUAAACUAUGUCGUUUUUAUGACUUUUUAUGCCUUACUAUACUAUGAUGUUUUUAUUCCGUUCUAUACUGUUCCAUUUUUAUGCCUUUUCAUGCCUUACUAUACUAUGACGUUUUUAUGACUUUUUAUGCCUUACUAUACUAUGACGUUUUUAUGACUUUUUAUGACUCACUUGACUAUGAUGUUUUUAUUUCAUUCUAUACUGUGCUGUUUUUAUGCCUUUUUAUGCCUUACUAUAUUAUGUUGUUUUUAUGCCUUCAUAUGCCUUACUAUAUUAUGUUGUUUUUGUGCCUUUUCAUGCCUUACUAUACUAUGUAUUUUUAUGCCUUUUUAUGCCUUACUGUACUAUGUAGUUUUUAUGCAUUCAUAUACCUAACUGUACAAUGUCUUUUUUAUGCCUUUUUAUGCCCUAAUAAACUAUGAUGAUUUUAAGCCUAACUGUACUUUGUCUUUUUUAUGCAUUCAUAUACCUAACUGUACUAUGUCUUUUUUAAUGCCUUCAUAUGCCUUGCUAUACUGUGACAUUUUUAUGCCUUUUCAUGCCUUACUAAACUAUGACAUUUUUAUGACUUUCCAUACCAUACUAUUCUAUGUGGUUUUUACUUCUUACUAUACUUAGUCGCUUUUAUGCUUUUUUAUGCCUUACUAUGCUUUGACGUUUUUAUGACUUUUUAUGUCUUACUAUACUAUGACGUUUUUAUGACUUUUUAUGCCUUACUAUACUAUGACGUUUUUUUGCCUUACUAAACUAUGUCGUUUUUAUGCCUUUUUAUGCCUUACUAUACUAUGUCGUUUUUAUGCUUUUUUAUGUCUUACUAUACUAUGACGUUUUUAUGACUUUUUAUGCCUUACUAUACUAUGAUGUUUUUGUUCCGUUCUAUACUGUUUCAUUUUUAUGCCUUUUCAUGCCUUACUAUACUAUGUUGUUUUUAUGCUUUUUUAUGCUUUACUAUACUGUGACGUUUUUAUGACUUUUUAUGCCUUACUAUAAAUUGUCGUUUUCAUGACUUUUCAUGCCUUGCUAUACUAUGAUGUUUUUAUUCCGUUCUACACUGUUCCAUUUUUAUGCCUUUUCAUGCCUUACUAUACUAUGACGUUUUUAUGACUUUUUAUGCCUUACUAUACUAUGACGUUUUUAUGACUUUUUAUCCCUUACUAUACUAUGUCGUUUUUAUGACUUUCUAUGACUCACUUGACUAUGAUGUUUUUAUUUCAUUCUAUACUGUGCUGUUUUUAUGCCUUUUUAUGCCUUACUAUAUUAUGUUGUUUUUAUGCCUUCAUAUGCCUUACUAUAUUAUGUUGUUUUUGUGCCUUUUCAUGCCUUACUAUACUAUGUAGUUUUUAUGCCUUUUUAUGCCUUACUGUACUAUGUAGUUUUUAUGCAUUCAUAUACCUAACUGUACAAUGUCUUUUUUAUGCCUUUUUAUGCCCUAAUAAACUAUGAUGAUUUUAA